AUUCCAUGCCCAAUGUGGAGCCCAAUAUGGGGUUUGAAUUCAUGACCCUGAGAGCAAGGCCUGAGCUGAGAUCAAGAGUCAGACACUUAACCGGCUGAGCCACCAAGGUGCCCCUUGAAGGAUAAGGAUUUUAAAAGUUAUUUAGGUGAUUUUAUGUUCAACCACGCCUGGAAACCCACACCUUGACCUACAGCUGUAGGUUCUCCAAGUGUGGUCCCUGGACCAACAGCAUCAAAAUCAGCAACUCCUGGGAACCUGGUAGACACACAAAUACUCAGGCCCUUGGAAAACCUACUGAAACAGAACCCUUAAAGGUGGAGCCCGCUGGUUUUAACUAGAAGCCAGGAAGGAAUUUGGCCAAGAGAAAUGCCAUCCUCCUAAGGAUGCUUGGCAUUAUGUUUACUCCUGCACAUUGCUUCUGUAUAUCAGGAAAGUCAAGAGGAGUGAAGAAAGGGCCAACCAUCACCUAAAAUCUUGGGACCUCGGAGACAUUCCAAGACCUGUGGAUUUUGUAGGGUUAUAUCAAACCACAAAAAUCCAAACCAAGAGCAUUUGCCAUUAAGAUGUCUUUUAAAUUAUGCUAAUAGAAUAGAUUCCUUUAUGUUGAUUUAUCUGAAGUUAUCUUGGGGUUUUUAGGAACAUAGUUUAUAAAUAUGAGGCAUUCUAUGUAAAGAAAGGGCAUAGUCUAAACUGAUUUUUCAACAUUUUCAUCCAAUCCCCUACAGAUUAACUUUCUUUUGUCUACAAUUCUAGGAGCAAAUACGAAUGCAAUAACUAAAAACUGCAUUUAGUAGAUACAGAAAGGUUACAUAAUAAAACCAGAAAUAGUAUCAUUGAGUUUGUUCUUACAUUAUUAUUCACCUUCCAAAGGUUUCUUAACUCCUUUACAGGCUUCAAAUACCACUUAAUCAAUUCUGGCUGCAACUCAGUUCACAUAUUCAAUUGACUUACGUGGUGUUGCAUUUCUAAAACAUAUAUUAUAAAUGUUUUCAACUAGACUCCACAUUUUCAUUCCACAAUGUCAAGAGAGGGAAGGCCAAAAAGGAUGGACUGCGGUUUGCACAUGAAAGUACUGGACCAUUUCUCCAAUCUCACUUUUUCUAUAAAAGGCUUUCAAAUGAAUCAUUCAUUCAUUCCUUCAUUCUUUCAUUAUGUAGAGAGAGUCUGCCAUGUACCAGGAACACGUCAAUAUUUUACUCUCUCUUGCACUCUCUUACAAAUUUUUCUCUGUAAAAAUUCAUAAAAUAUUUUUGACUGAAGAUUUGAGAUAGCAGGUAAUGUGAGAUAUAUUAAUAAUAGACCUCAUUUGGGGCAUCUGGGUGGCUCAG